CCUCCGGGGCGACCCUGCCUUCGGGCGGGGGCUCCGGGUGGACACUUCAAACUCUUGCGUAACUUUGCAGUCUGAGUAAACUUAAUUAAUAAAUUAAAACUUUUAACAACGGAUCUCUUGGUUCUGGCAUCGAUGAAGAACGCAGCGAAAUGCGAUAAGUAAUGUGAAUUGCAGAAUUCAGUGAAUCAUCGAAUCUUUGAACGCACAUUGCGCCCCCUGGUAUUCCGGGGGGCAUGCCUGUUCGAGCGUCAUUUCACCACUCAAGCCUCGCUUGGUAUUGGGCAACGCGGUCCGCCGCGUGCCUCAAAUCGACCGGCUGGGUCUUCUGUCCCCUAAGCGUUGUGGAAACUAUUCGCUAAAGGGUGUUCGGGAGGCUACGCCGUAAAACAACCCCAUUUCUAAGGUUGACCUCGGAUCAGGUAGGGAUACCCGCUGAACUUAAGCAUAUCAAU
rnacentral:rRNA from 1 species